UCCCUGGUGGCUCAGAUGGUAGAGAAUCUGCCUGCAGUGCAGAAGGCCUGGGUUCAAUUCCUGGGUUGGGAA
rfam:Ovis aries breed Texel chromosome 12, whole genome shotgun sequence.